CAGAGCAUCAAUAAACCAUGAGUAAAUUAGACAAGAGACUAAAACACAAUUUUCAAUCUAAAAUAUUAAAUUUUCAAUCUAAAAACAGUGGGUUUAUGGUUUUCUCCAUUAUAUGUUUAUCUUAACAAAAAGUAAUUAUUUCCUUGCAUUUGAAAGCUCAGGGUUCUGCUUGAGCUUUUGUAGAUUCUGCAGUCCAUCUACUCUCCAUGUACCUUCCCAUAUCCCUUUGUUGUGCUCUUGUGUAGUUCUGCAGUUCUUGAAGAGGGUAUCUGAGGAUCAUUAAAGGGAAAAAAAGAUUUAAUAAAAGAACACUAUGACAGUGUAAAAAUUUCAAAUACACAAGAGCGUUGCUUAUAUUCUCUGGUUGUACUGACUUGAGGACAAGGCAAAGCAUUUAGAAUAAUUUGCAUUGCUGGUUGCAGUCAGAAUGAAAACAUUGGGUUGACAGAGAGGAUGGUGGUGUCUAUAAAUAACUACAAAGUUCAGAAAGCAAUUUUAGAAGCCAGUAAGUAUUUUUAAGAUCCCCAAAUGCUUUCACCAACAUUGAAGCAUUUGAACAUUUAAGAAAAAGAGAAUGAUCAUAUUAAGACUGAUUAUAGGCUUGUGAAAUAAGGAAUGAAGACAACAAACCUGUUACGAUUUCAUACAAGAAAUGUAUGGGAAAGUUGAAUGCAAAAUUCCUCAUGAAGUGUUCCAUGGAGAAACACAUUUUAAACAUCAGUGUGGAUGUAAUGUAAGAGCAGGAAGAAAUUCUAAAUUUAUAGUUUUGAUUAUUCUAACUAAUUUUAUAGAUUAUGCAUUAUGCAUCAUGCUUAAUUGGGUUUCUAUGAUUCGUAACUUAAGAAUUA
rnacentral:lncRNA from 1 species